AAUAGAUACCCUGGUAGUCCAUGCCGUAAACGUUGGGCGCUAGAUGUGGGGACCAUUCCACGGUUUCCGUGUCGCAGCUAACGCAUUAAGCGCCCCGCCUGGGGAGUACGGCCGCAAGGCUAAAACUCAAAGGAAUUGACGGGGGCCCGCACAAGCGGCGGAGCAUGCGGAUUAAUUCGAUGCAACGCGAAGAACCUUACCAAGGCUUGACAUAUACGAGAACGCUCUAGAAAUAGAGAACUCUUUGGACACUCGUGUACAGGUGGUGCAUGGUUGUCGUCAGCUCGUGUCGUGAGAUGUUGGGUUAAGUCCCGCAACGAGCGCAACCCUCGUUCUAUGUUGCCAGCGGUUCGGCCGGGAACUCAUAGGAGACUGCCGGGGUCAACUCGGAGGAAGGUGGGGAUGACGUCAAAUCAUCAUGCCCCUUAUGUCUUGGGCUUCACGCAUGCUACAAUGGCCGGUACAAAGGGCUGCAAUACCGUAAGGUGGAGCGAAUCCCAAAAAGCCGGUCUCAGUUCGGAUUGAGGU
rnacentral:rRNA from 1 species